GUGGGGGAUAUUGCACAAUGGGGGAAACCCUGAUGCAGCGACGCCGCGUGGGUGAAGGAGCGUUUCGGCGCGUAAAGCCCUAUCAGCAGGGAAGAAAGAGACGGUACCUGACUAAGAAGCCCCGGCUAACUACGUGCCAGCAGCCGCGGUAAUACGUAGGGGGCAAGCGUUAUCCGGAUUUACUGGGUGUAAAGGGGGCGCAGACGGCAGUGCAAGCCAGGAGUGAAAGCCCGGGGCCUAACCCCGGGACUGCUCUUGGAACUGUACAGCUAGAGUGCAGGAGGGGCAGGCGGAAUUCCUAGUGUAGCGGUGAAAUGCGUAGAUAUUAGGAGGAACACCGGUGGCGAAGGCGGCCUGCUGGACUGUGACUGACGUUGAGGCCCGAAAGCGUGGGGAGCAAACAGGA
rnacentral:rRNA from 1 species